GACGAACGCUGGCGGCGUGCUUAACACAUGCAAGUCGUACGGUAAGGCCCUUUCGGGGGUACACGAGUGGCGAACGGGUGAGUAACACGUGAGUAACCUGCCCACAACUUUGGGAUAACGCUAGGAAACUGGUGCUAAUACUGGAUAUGUGCUCCUGCUGCAUGGUGGGGGUUGGAAAGCUCCGGCGGUUGUGGAUGGACUCGCGGCCUAUCAGCUUGUUGGUGGGGUAGUGGCCUACCAAGGCGGCGACGGGUAGCCGGCCUGAGAGGGUGACCGGCCACAUUGGGGCUGAGAUACGGCCCAGACUCCUACGGGAGGCAGCAGUGGGGAAUAUUGCACAAUGGGCGCAAGCCUGAUGCAGCAACGCCGCGUGCGGGAUAACGGCCUUCGGGUUGUAAACCGCUUUCAGCAGGGACGAAGCUUUUUGUGACGGUACCUGCAGAAGAAGCACCGGCUAACUACGUG
rnacentral:rRNA from 1 species